rnacentral:rRNA from 1 species
UUCCAUCUAAAGCUAAAUAUUGGUGGGAGACCGAUAGCGCACAAGUACCGUGAGGGAAAGAUGCAAAGAACUUUGAAAAGAGAGUUAAAGAGUACCUGAAAUUGCUGAAAGGGAAGCAAAGGAAACCAGUGCGUUGUGCGUGUCAUAUUUCUCCUGCUGCUUGCGGUGGGGGCGCUGUGGCCGUGCGUAGCGUCAGCAUCGGUUCGUACUUCGGAGCAAACGGUGUGGCUGGAGGUUAUUCCAUUACGGGAUGAAUGACAGCCGCUCUAAGUUCUGGAGGGGACCGAGGUUAGUCACAUGCUCGUGAUGCUGGCUAAAUGGUUUUCUUUACCCCGUCUUGUAACACGGACCAAG